rnacentral:rRNA from 1 species
UACGGAGGAUGCAAGCGUUAUCCGGAUUUAUUAGGUUUAAAGGGUGCGUAGGCGGAAUAAUAAGUCAGUGGUGAAAUCCUGCAGCUUAACUGUAGAACUGCCAUUGAAACUGCUAUUCUUGAGUCUAGUUGAAGUGGGCGGAAUGUGUCAUGUAGCGGUGAAAUGCAUAGAUAUGACACAGAACACCGAUUGCGUAGGCAGCUCACUAGACUACAACUGACGCUGAGGCACGAAAGCGUGGGGAUCAAACAGG